rnacentral:rRNA from 1 species
UGAGUACGAGAUGCUACGGCAUCGAAGCAGUCUAUGUCAUACUUCCAAGAAAAGCUUGCAAUGUCAUAAACAAAUAAUGCCUGUACCAUAACCGACACAGGUGGGUAGGUAGAGUAUACUAAGGGGCGCGAGAUAACUCUCUCUAAGGAACUCGGCAAAAUGACUCCGUAACUUCGGGAGAAGGAGUGCCUUAUUUUUAUAAGGUUGCAAUAACAAGAUCCAAGCAACUGUUUACCAAAAACACAGGUCUCCGCUAAGUCGUAAGACGAUGUAUGGGGGCUGACGCCUGCCCAGUGCCAGAAGGUUAAAGAAGUUGGUUAGCAUUAGCGAAGCUGAUAACUGAAGCCCUGGUGAACGGCGGCCGUAACGAUAACGGUCCUAAGGUAGCGAAAUUCCUUGUCGGGUAAGUUCCGACCCGCACGAAAGGCGUAAUGAUUUGGAUACUGUCUCGGAGAGGGGCUCGGUGAAAUAGACUUGUCUGUGAAGAUGCGGACUACCUGCACCUGGACAGAAAGACCCUAUGAAGCUUUACUGUAACUUGAGAUUGAAAUUGGACUUUAUCUGCGCAGUAUAGGUGGGAGACGUUGAAAAUAUUCUUGCGGGAAUAUUGGAGUCAUCAGUGAGAUACCACUCUUAUAAUGUUAGAUUUCUAACUUUGUAUCAUUAUCUGGUCAAAGAACAGUUUCAGGCGGGCAGUUUGACUGGGGCGGUCGCCUCCCAAACGGUAACGGAGGCGCACAAAGGUUUCCUCUGAACGUGUAGAAAUCGUAUCUAGAGUGUAAAGGCAUAAGGAAGCUUGACUGUGAGACCUACAAGUCGAGCAGGGACGAAAGUCGGUCUUAGUGAUCUGACGGUGCUGAGUGGAAAGGCCGUCACUCAACGGAUAAAAGUUACUCUAGGAUAACAGGCUGAUCUCCCCCAAGAGUUCACAUCGACGGGGAGGUUUGGCACCUCGAUGUCGGCUCAUCGCAUCCUGGGGCGGUAGUACGUCCCAAGGGUUGGGCUGUUCGCCCAUGAAAGCGGUACGCGGGCUGGGUUCAGAACGUCGUGAGACAGUUCGGUCCAUAUCCGGUGUGGGCGUUAGAAUAUUGAGAGGAGCCUUCUUUAGUACGAGAGGACCGAGAAGGACAUACCUCUGGUGUACCAGUUAUCGUGCCAACGGUAAACGCUGGGUAGCCAUGUAUGGAGAGGAUAACCGCUGAAAGCAUCUAAGUGGGAAGCCCACCUCAAGAUAAG